rnacentral:rRNA from 1 species
UACGUAGGGGGCGAGCGUUAUCCGGAAUUACUGGGCGUAAAGCGCACGCAGGCGGUUCGCCAAGUUUGGAGUGACAGUUGUCGGCUCAACCGACAAAGGACUUCAAAAACUGGUGAACUUGAGGACGAGAGAGGAACGCGGAAUUCCAGGUGUAGCGGUGAAAUGCGUAGAUAUCUGGAGGAACACCGGUGGCGAAGGCGGCGUUCUGGACUGCAACUGACACUGAGGAACGAAAGCCAGGGGAGCAAACGGG